rnacentral:tRNA from 1 species
ACUAUUAUGACAGAUUAAUGUAUUGAGUUUAAGCCUCAAAAAUAAAGCUUGCUUUUUUUAGUA